UUCGCAGGCGCACGGCCUGAUGGCCGCCCUUGCCGGGAAUGAAAGUACACCCGGGCAGCUGUAGGCAUCGUUUCAACUGCGCACUCGUUACAACUUAGUACAACAAAGAUGUUGUAUCUGCAACAGAUCUGUCGCAGCGUUCACCUCUCUUGGGAAACUGGCGUUACGGGCUACAAUAUCAGCGGAGGCGACGACCCCUGCGAUAGUUGGGAUGUGGUGGGUUAGUCCUCCCGAAUUGUCACUUACUAUCAGGGGCAACCGCCUGCUUUGGGAUAUCCGUG
rnacentral:misc_RNA from 1 species